rnacentral:rRNA from 1 species
UACGGGGAGGGCAAGCGUUGUUCGGAAUUACUGGGCGUAAAGGGCUUGUAGGUGGCCAACUAAGUCAGACGUGAAAUCCCUCGGCUUAACCGGGGAACUGCGUCUGAUACUGGAUGGCUUGAGUGUGGGAGAGGGAUGCGGAAUUCCAGGUGUAGCGGUGAAAUGCGCAGAUAUCAGGAAGAACACCCGUGGCGAAGGCGGCUCUCUGGAACGCAACUGACGCUGAGACGCGAAAGCGUGGGGAGCAAACAGG